rnacentral:misc_RNA from 1 species
GCGGAACGGACAAAGCGGACAA